rnacentral:rRNA from 1 species
GUGAACGCUGGCGGUAGGCCUAACACAUGCAAGUCGCACGGCAGCACAGUAAGAGCUUGCUCUUACGGGUGGCGAGUGGCGGACGGGGGAGGAAUACAUCGGAAUCUACUUUUUCGUGGGGGAUAACGUAGGGAAACUUACGCUAAUACCGCAUACGACCUACGGGUGAAAGCCGGGGAUCUUCGGACCUUGCGCGAUUGAAUGAGCCGAUGUCGGAUUAGCUAGUUGGCGGGGUAAAGGCCCACCAAGGCGACGAUCCGUAGCUGGUCUGAGAGGAUGAUCAGCCACACUGGAACUGAGACACGGUCCAGACUCCUACGGGAGGCAGCAGUGGGGAAUAUAGGACAAUGGGCGCAAGCCUGAUCCAGCCAUACCGCGUGGGUGAAGAAGGCCUUCGGGUUGUAAAGCCCUUUUGUUGGGAAAGAAAAGCAGCAGGUUAAUACCCCGCUGUUCUGACGGUACCCAAAGAAUAAGCACCGGCUAACUUCGUG